CCUCCGAGGGACAGGCUCUGCCCUAUUGCCUUGGCGACACCAGAAAUGUAUCGCAUGAGGCUGGACUACAACUCAGCGACAGAAUGUCAGCCAGCAAGUUCAAGCUGUAGGCUCGUUCCACGGUACUAGGGGUGAGGGAAAUAUGGCCCGAGGCAGAUGGCGAGAAAGCUGCGCUGGCGGCCAGAAGGGAUCGGAGCCAGCUGGAGCCACGAGUCAGGGCAGACUCUCAAAGCUCAGUUUCCUUGGAUGCUCUCCAUCUAGCCCUGAGGCCGACACCCUAAACUUCUGGGACCCCAGGAAUGUGGGAUUCAGAGAGGCCAGUUCGGCUGGAGACAGUUCCACACCAAGGAUGCUUUUCCCAAGGACACAGUCCCUAUCUUCUAGGUGCCUGGACUCCACACGUGCCGAGUGCUCCUGAAAUGAAGUUCUAGAACCUACAGCCACUGGACAGGUCUCUAGUGGAAAAGCAAUGCCUGUGAGUUUGCUUGGGCUGGCCUUGAACUCACUAU
ensembl:processed_transcript A430093F15Rik RIKEN cDNA A430093F15 gene